rnacentral:rRNA from 1 species
UACGUAGGGCGCAAGCGUUGUCCGGAAUUAUUGGGCGUAAAGAGCUCGUAGGCGGCUUGUCACGUCGGGUGUGAAAGCCCGGGGCUUAACCCCGGGUCUGCAUUCGAUACGGGCUAGCUAGAGUGUGGUAGGGGAGAUCGGAAUUCCUGGUGUAGCGGUGAAAUGCGCAGAUAUCAGGAGGAACACCGGUGGCGAAGGCGGGUCUCUGGGCAACUACUGACGCUGAGGAGCGAAAGCGUGGGGAGCGAACAGG